rnacentral:rRNA from 1 species
UGAGCAAUCUGCCCUUCUCUUCGGAAUAAGCGUUGGAAACGACGUCUAAUGCCGAAUACGACCUCCUUUCGCAUGAUCGGAGGUGGAAAGCUCCGGCGGAGAAGGAUGAGCUCGCGGCCUAUCAGCUAGUUGGUGUGGGUAAUGGCCCACCAAGUCGACGACGGGUACGG